rnacentral:rRNA from 1 species
CCUACGGGUGGCAGCAGUGAGGAAUAUUGGUCAAUGGGCGGGAGCCUGAACCAGCCAAGCCGCGUGAGGGAAGAAGGUACAGCGUAUCGUAAACCUCUUUUGUCAGGGAACAAAGUCGGGGACUCGUCCCCGGCUGAGUGUACCUUAAGAACAAGCAUCGGCUAACUCCGUGCCAGCAGCCGCGGUACUACGGAGGAUGCGAGCGUUAUCCGGAUUUAUUGGGGUAGAAGGGUGCGCAGGCGGCCUGUUAAGUCAGCGGUAAAAGCCCGGGGCUCAACCCCGGCGAGCCGUUGAAACUGGCGGGCUGGAGUUGGAGAGAAGUACGAGGAAUGCGCGGUGUAGCGGUGAAAUGCGUAGAUAUCGCGCAGAACCCCGAUUGCGAAGGCAGCGUACUGGCUCCAAACUGACGCUGAGGCACGAAAGCGUGGGUAUCGAACAGGAUUAGAUACCCGGGUAGUC